UUCUGUCCACGAGCUGUUGAAAUUUGCCCAGGACACCAAAACAAAGCACAAGAGUUUUUAAGAGAAAGUUUU